GUCGUCGCUGCCCUCAGCCUCCAGAUGCAGCCCCCCUGCCACCUUCAGGACCCCUGGCUCUCCCCUGGACUCAGUAGCGAAAGGGUUUAUGUGCUCGGAGGGAGACCUUCAGGAAUCUGUGCAUAGAAUGCCAUAGUGCAGAGGAAACAGCCCCAGAAAAUGGAACAGCUGCUAAGUGAGACUCCUCAGCCAGGCCAGAGAAUGUGCAUUCUGACGGACUGCUUCUCAUUUGCACUGAUCACUGUGAGUGUCUGAUGGGUGGGCAUCCGGCGCCCAGAGAAGGAGUUGCUCUAUUAUCCUGGCACUCCAUAAAGAACAGGUAGAAAUAAGCGCUUCUUACCAAGAUGAAAUCCACCCAUCAUUUCUGAAUGGCUCAGUUUUGAUUUCAUCUCCCAAGGUCUUCUUUCUGAAACCAGCCCAACUUUUCUCCCAGAGAGUAUCAUGGAACUGAACUUUCAAGAUCAUGGCAUCUGGACAUCGAGAAAACAGAACCCUCAUCUGGCCACCUGCUGCUUUUUGACCAAUUCCCAUAUAAACCGCUAACUUCAGUCAGUUGGAGGGAUGGAUUUGAGAUUUGCCUUCUGUCUCUCAGGUGAUGUCACCAGCAAUAAAGCCUUCUUCCCUGGC
ensembl:lncRNA TMEM132D-AS1 TMEM132D antisense RNA 1